GCGAGCUAUCGAAGGAGAGAACCAGUGGCGUAUUGAACAGAGCAUGCCAUUGGUGGAGUAAGUACGUCCAGGGACGAAACAGAAUUAAUUUUUUUGAUUAACAUUUUAUUAACCUCCAACUCUGCCUUGGCCUAUUGCAGUUCCUGAAGGUCACAUCGACUGGGGCGUGAUACAAGGCGUAGUCGGCUGGCUGCUGCCACCGUUGGGACUCUCCCAACCUAUUCUCAUCUACAACGUUAAAAAGUUACUUACAUUGUUGCAGCCGAGAAUAAAAUGGGAAGACUCCAAAGGGUCGCACCAACCAGCCAAUUGCGCUUUGUAUCAGCGCGCCAACUGGUGUGAGCUUUGGGAAUUGCCAUACGCCAAGCCAGACUUGCAUGCUAGUAAAACAUUAUUCGAAAUUACUUCUAUUUUGUUUGUUGACAUACUUCCUCCGCCAAUGACACGCUCAGUUCAAUUUGCUGAUGGUUC
rnacentral:pre_miRNA from 1 species